GGGCGAUUAACUCAGCGGUUAGAGUGCUUUCUUUACACGGAAGAGGUCACUGGUUCGAAUCCAGUAUCGCCCAC
rnacentral:tRNA from 1 species